rnacentral:rRNA from 1 species
AUUGAACGCUGGCGGCAGGCUUAACACAUGCAAGUCGAGCGAGCGGAGUACGGGUGAGUAAUGUCUGUGAAACUGCCUGAUGGAGGGGGAUAACUACUGGAAACGGUAGCUACUACCGCUUACCAUCGGAUGUGCCCAGAUGGGAGUAGCUAGUAGGUGGGGUACUGGCUCACCUAGGCGACGAACCCUAGCUGGUCUGCAAGGAGGACCAGCCACACGGGACAUUAGACACGGUCCAGAGUCCUACGGUAGUGAGCAGGGGGGAAUAGUGCACAAUUGGCGCAAGCCCGAUGCAGCCAUGCCGCGUGUGUGAAGAAGGCCUUCGGGUUGUAAAGCACUUUCAGCGGGGAGGCGUUACGCGCAGAAGAAGCACCGGCUAACUCCGUGCCAGCAGCCGCGGUAAUAC